CUAAGAAAAAUCUAGAUGAUGAAGGGAGUAGAAAAAUCUAGAAACCAUAAUACAACAACUAUAAAUAGGUUGUAUGUGCAUAAGUUUGGGGUGAGCCAAUCAAGAGAGCUCCCACAAAAACCAUGAGUGAGGGGUAGAAAGAAGGGUUCUACCAAAGAGAUAAGUGAGAGACAUGAGCUCUCGCAAAUAUUGUUGUACAUCAAUUUUUAUCCAUAUAAUCAAUGAUGAAAAUACAAUUUUGAUAUAUUAUUCGGGUCCAUCAAAACUUCCGCGUGCGUCCUCAAAUUUCUAUCAGAUUUUUCUACACUUGUCAUAUAUCUAGAUUUUUUUUUACUAGAUUUUUCUUAGGAUAAUUCUAGAAAUUUUCCUACUCGAUUUUUACAAACAUAUUAUCUAGAUUUUUCUAGAUUAAUAUUUCAACAGAGUUCAGGAUUAUCCAAUUACCAUAUGGAGGUUUUGGAGUUGCUUCUGUGUUCAAAUACUAUUCAACCUUUAAACUUUGCUCUUUGAAUGGAAAUUUAUGCGCAUGGGGAAAGUUAGUGAUAGGAUUAAUUAAGCAGGAAAUCCAAAUGAUGAAGUAUUAGAUAUGUGGAUGCUCAAACACUAUGGGGUUUCUGAGUGUUGGAUCAAAGUAUUUCAAUUGGACCCCGGGCAUUAUAUUCAAGAAUUAUUUUGAUUCCCUUGUUCAAGCAAAGUUCUGGUUAUGACUGAGGAUCAAAAUGUAAUGAUUAUGGAUUUUGAAUCAAGUCCACUCCAAGUGUUCAAGAUUGAUGAUCGGCUUACCAGAUACAACAAACCGGCAAAAGAUUCUGUGUGUAAUUUUGGCUAAAGAGCCGGCACCUGAUGUUAAUCUGGCUGCACUUGCAAAUAUGGCGGAUGGUUACUCUGGAAGUGACUUGAAGAAUCUUUAAUGUCUCAUCCGAGAAGUAUUGGUGACAGAGAAGAAGACAAAGACAGUUUCUGUAUGGUAUUUUUGUUGAUCUGAAAUACGCAUAGUCAUGUGAGUUGUUAAUUAGUUGCAUCAGCUGAAAAACUCUUAUUAUGUAUGUGAUUCUGAUAAUCUUUGAAACUAGUCCGUAUUUGGCAAGGGAAAAAAAUACGUCUACGUGUUUUGAGUGUUAGUGCUCAACAUGUAUAACAUAUAAUCGUACUGUAUAUUUUUGUUGAGAUAUGUCAUAUCUGGAGGGAAUUCUAUUUAGUCUUUUGUUUUAUAUUUUAAUAUUUAUGGUUGGCUUGUUUGCAUGAGAAAGCUUUAGCAAUUAGCAUUAACAAAGAACAGAUUACCUGUAUUAUACAGUGGGGAUCAUGAGCCACUUUAAGAAGAAGAGCGAAGAGGUAAUCUAUCCGAUCCGAUCCACUCCAUGAGUAGUUAGCAAGUUAGUAGUUUCAAAAAUGCGGUUCAAUACUAAUGGUGGCAUGUAUCAUCUAUCACAGUAUCAUGUAUGUCAUAUCUGUGAUAACAUAAUAAAACCCGUGAGGCUAUGCUUAAUACGCAUUGUUACUUGGUACUUUGUAUUACUGUUAGAAUAGAAUUUGAGUUAUACUAAUGACUUUUGUUUGAUAAUACCUAUUAAAUUCUCAUCUUAUGUAACUUGGUCCAUUUGAGGUGGUGUCUCUUUAACCACAAAGGUCUCGUAGAACUAGCAUUAGCUAAUCAUGAUUCAUGCAUUUGUGUUGUACAAUAUCUUCCAUAACAUAAU